CGCCUCUCAGGAUCGCAUCCGGAGAGUUUCCAGUCCUCUACCAGUCUCGACUACGGGAGGGAGAGUCAAGCAGAGGCCUGCCCGUUCCAUUCCUAGCUUGGCCAGUGGCUAGCGAGGGGAAGGCAAUCUGCUACGGGU